GAAACAAAGUCAGUUACAUUUUCUUACAUAUAUUUAACUAUAGAGCUGGAUGGAAUCAAGCUAUUGGGAAGGCAUUGGUGCUCCUGGUUCUCUGACUUUUGGACUCCGACUGGGACUCACAUUUUAGGCCCCUGUUCUCAGACCUUCAGACUUGAACAGCUGUCCUGGUUCUCCAGACUGCAGAUCAAGGGAUUUCUUGGCCUCCAUAACCAUACAGGCAUUGUCAAGAGUCUAUGAGAAGGAAGAGUAAAACAAGGAAAACAAAGAAAUUACUGCAUGACUGUAGAAUGGCAGACAAUAAUAAUGAAGGGGAUUUCCAGUUUCAUUUAUAUAUUCCCAUCGGUGCUUACAAUUCCUCUCGGUAAGUCAAUGAUGUGAGAGUCUGAUGGAGAUGUUGAAUAGGUAAUGUGAAAGAAGCAAACUUAAAACUGUUGACAUAUGCCUCUUGUACAUACCCAAUAC